rnacentral:rRNA from 1 species
ACUCCUACGGGAGGCAACAGUAGGGAAUCUUCCACAAUGGGCGCAAGCCUGAUGGAGCAACACCGCGUGAGUGAAGAAGGGUUUCGGCUCGUAAAGCUCUGUUGUUAAAGAAGAACACGUAUGAGAGUAACUGUUCAUACGUUGACGGUAUUUAACCAGAAAGUCACGGCUAACUACGUGCCAGCAGCCGCGGUAAUACGUAGGUGGCAAGCGUUAUCCGGAUUUAUUGGGGCGUAAAGAGAGUGCAGGCGGUUUUCUAAGUCUGAUGUGAAAGCCUUCGGCUUAACCGGAGAAGUGCAUCGGAAACUGGAUAACUUGAGUGCAGAAGAGGGUAGUGGAACUCCAUGUGUAGCGGUGGAAUGCGUAGAUAUAUGGAAGAACACCAGUGGCGAAGGCGGCUACCUGGUCUGCAACUGACGCUGAGACUCGAAAGCAUGGGUAGCGAACAGGAUUAGAUACCCGGUAGGAUAGCG